rnacentral:sRNA from 1 species
GCCAGGUGCGGGGGCACACGCUUGUAAUCCAGUAGCUCAGGAGGCUGAGGCAGGAGGAUCGCGAGUUCAAGGCCGGCCACAACAACAGCGAUGUGCUAAGCAACUCAGUGAGACCCUGUCUCUA